rnacentral:rRNA from 1 species
AUUCAGUCUGGUGUUGCGGACGUGGAGCCGGAAGUUUUCAGUAGGGCUUCCAGGCGACUGGGCCGUCUGGAUCCGCGUCUUCCGCCGUCCCAGAUGCAAUUCUCUCUCGUCCGAAGGACGUCGCAGCCGGUUGGGCAGUGCAAGCACGUCGGCCUGAAGGCGGGGAGUCGGCAGGUGGCCGGUGACGAGUUUCCAUUCGCCAUCGGUUGUUAGCCAUCCCCUCAGUGGCUCGAUGUCCGACCGUGGUCUCUCGAGGCCCUGAAAGGGCCUUUCUCGUCUCCAUCCCAGCGGGACAGACGGUUGCAGGCGAACUUCGUUCUCGCGUCGCACUCUUUGGGAGUGGUAGUGAGAACGGAGUGCGCCGUUGGUGACUGCGGGCCCGUGGGGGACCGGAGGCUAGCGGCGAGUAGGUCGGUCACCCUCCCGACCCGUCUUGAAACACGGACCAAGGAGUCUAACAUGUACGCGAGUCAAUGGGUCUUGAACAGGCCCACGGGCGCAAUGAAAGCGAAAUUCGUGUCGAGAUCCUCUCUCUCCGGGGAGGGGCGCACCGACGACCCGUCCUAUUCGGCUCGCCGUUUGGACGGAGUCUGAGCGUACACGUUGGGACCCGAAAGAUGGUGAACUAUGCCCGGACAGGACGAAGCCAGAGGAAACUCUGGUGGAGGUCCGAAGCGGUUCUGACGUGCAAAUCGAUCGUCAGAUCUGGGUCUAGUGGCGA